GCAGAGCUCCAGGAAAUCUGUAACUUGAUCGAACUUGCUGUAAUGUAUCCCCCAGUGAAUUUGGAAGCACUUGGAAUUGUGGAUGAGUUUAACAAAUCUACAUGUAUUUUGCACAUUAACAAUGAAUUAUUCAGUCACUUCAUUAUAGAUAUCCCCUACAAUCGAUGAGAAUGCAGUUCUCAGGAGAUCACGACUCACACAGCACUGUGGUAUCUCCAGCUUGAUUUUCCUCAUCAAGAAGAAAAAUACAUGAGGGAUAAGCCCAACAGAUGAGCCUCAUGGAAGCUUUCAAACUAUUAAUACACAGAAUUGGAAUCAGGAAUAUCAGCUUGAAAAACAUGACCACCCUCUGUUUGAUGCCAUGGAGGGGAACAGAGAGUCCUGCUGGCAAGGAAUGAGCUACUGCACCAAGGAACAGGAAGAAAAUGGAGCUGGCAACCUGCACAAGGUAGAACUAACCUGAACUUGGAGAGAAUGGGGGUUUCCAUGGCUUUGGAGUUAGGCACAGGAAUGACAAUGCAUCUUCACAUCAAACGUUUUGGAUUAAAGGGGUGGUCCCUACAUGGGGAAAGAUUGCUGUAUUCUGCAUCAGGAAAACAAAACAAAAACAAAAACAAAAUAAGCAACUAUUUUCCCAUUCACUGCAAGGAAGCUAGCUAUUGGAUCCACAUUAGUGGUGAAUUAGUUCUGUGUUCCCCAGCAAAGCAUCAAACAGCCCCACACUG